GCCCGGAUGGUGAAAUUGGUAGACACAAGGGAUUUAAAAUCCCUCGGCGUUCGCGCUGUGCGGGUUCAAGUCCCGCUCCGGGCACCA
rnacentral:tRNA from 1 species